rnacentral:lncRNA from 1 species
AUGGAACAUGUAGCCAAGCUCUGCAGUAUGUUGGGUCUGACCGAGUGGCACAGCGGUCUAAGGCACUGCAUCACAGUGCUAGAGGCGUCCUUACAGACCACGGUUCAAUUCCAUGCUGUAUCACAACAUGUGUUAAUGUGUUACUGUGGCAGGUCAACAGGGCUUUCCUUCCACACCCCUGGUAAUUCAUGUGUUACUGUGGCAGGUCAACAGGGCUUUCAUUCCACACCCCUGGUAAUUCAUGUGUUACUGCACAACGCAUCACCGGGGGCAAACUACCUGCCCUCCAGGACACCUACACCACCCGAUGCUACAGGAAGGCCAAAAGAUCAUCAAGGACAUCAACCACCCGAGCCACUGCCUGUUCACCCCGCUGUCAUCCAGAAGGCGAGGUCAGUACAGGUGCAUCAAAGCUGGGACCGAGAGACUGAAAAACAGCUUCUAUCUCA